rnacentral:rRNA from 1 species
GAUGAACGCUAGCGGCAGGCCUAAUACAUGCAAGUCGAGGGGUAAGGCUCUUUCGGGAGUACACGACCGGCGCACGGGUGCGUAACGCGUAUGCAACCUACCUUUAACUGGGGAAUAGCCCCGAGAAAUCGGGAUUAAUACUCCAUAGCACUGCGAAGUGGCAUCACUUUGUAGUUAAAGCUCCGGCGGUUAAAGAUGGGCAUGCGUGACAUUAGUUUGUUGGUGAGGUAAUGGCUCACCAAGACUACGAUGUCUAGGGGUUCUGAGAGGAUGAUCCCCCACACUGGUACUGAGACACGGACCAGACUCCUACGGGAGGCAGCAGUAAGGAAUAUUGCGCAAUGGAGGCAACUCUGACGCAGCCAUGCCGCGUGCAGGAAGAAGGCCUUAUGGGUCGUAAACUGCUUUUAUUAGGGAAUAAACCCUCGCUCGUGAGCGAGGCUGAAGGUACCUAAAGAAUAAGCACCGGCUAACUCCGUGCCAGCAGCCGCGGUAAUACGGAGGGUGCAAGCGUUAUCCGGAUUUAUUGGGUUUAAAGGGUGCGCAGGCGGACUAUUAAGUCAGUGGUGAAAUCCCGGGGCUCAACCUCGGAACUGCCAUUGAUACUGAUAGUCUUGAGUUUGGUUGAAGUAGGCGGAAUGUAGCAUGUAGCGGUGAAAUGCAUAGAUAUGCUACAGAACACCAAUCGCGAAGGCAGCUUACUAAGCCAAAACUGACGCUCAUGCACGAAAGCGUGGGGAGCAAACAGGAUUAGAUACCUGGUAGUCCACGCCGUAAACGAUGAUCACUCGUUGUUGGCGAUACACAGUCA